CAGCGUUCUUCAUAACUGUGAAGAAGAGGAGCACAGACAAACACAAGAGAGAUAUUGUGUGAGACGUAUCACUUCAACUGAACUCUUGAAGAAAGCAGAUGUGUUAGCUAAGUGUCUUUAAGCGAGAAAAAAAGAAGAGAAUGUCACAUGUUGUUUAUUUUGGACUUCUUUUCACAUGCUCAGUUCUUGUUGGGUGUAGCAGCAUUAACAAGGAACAAUGGAAGAGCAUGCUGGAAAGAAAAAAACUGAACCUUCCCGAAGAAUUCAAAAUGAGUCAUGAAUUGAACAUAGAGAACUCUGAGAUGAAUGCCAUUUUGUGUUGGGUUUGCAAGAAGUCAAUUCAUGAGAUCAAGGGUGUGAUUCUUCAUGAAAUUAAAAAGGAAAUAAAGACAGUGUGCAAAGCAAUGAAAAUUCUUGAACACAUCUGUGAGCACAAUGCUUACAAAUACCAAUUAUUGAUAAUUCAUCUACUGUUUCCUGGUAAUAGCGAACAAACCUGUCACCAUUUGAGCAUGUGUAAAUAAAUGUAUUGCUCUGCUGUGGUGAACCAAAUUAUUUUCCACAUACUUUUAAUAAAUCAGCCUCUUGCCUGUUUGAUGUUGCUAUAGUCAAUUUUUCCAAUAAAGUCAAUACAGUGUUAUUUUUAUUGUUUGCAUUAUAUGCUGUGUAAACGAUCAU